GAAAUGCGAUAAGUAGUGUGAAUUGCAGAAUUCAGUGAAUCAUCGAAUCUUUGAACGCACAUUGCGCCCUUUGGUAUUCCUUAGGGCAUGCCUGUUCGAGCGUCAUUUAAACCUUCAAGCCCUGCUUGGUGUUGGGUGCCUGUCCCGCCUCCGCGCGUGGACUCACCUCAAAUCCAUUGGCGGCCCCCACGUCGGCUACGAGCGCAGCAGAAACGCGAACUCGUGGGCCCGACGGGGCGGCUCCCAGAAGCCACAUUCACCAUUUUGACCUCGGAUCAGGUAGGGAUACCCGCUGAACUUAA
rnacentral:misc_RNA from 1 species